UACGGGGGGGGCAAGCGUUGUUCGGAAUUACUGGGCGUAAAGGGCUCGUAGGCGGCCAAUUAAGUCAGACGUGAAAUCCCUCGGCUUAACCGGGGAACUGCGUCUGAUACUGGAUGGCUAGAGGUUGGGAGAGGGAUGCGGAAUUCCAGGUGUAGCGGUGAAAUGCGUAGAUAUCUGGAGGAACACCGGUGGCGAAGGCGGCAUCCUGGACCGAUUCUGACGCUGAUGAGCGAAAGCCAGGGGAGCAAACGGG
rnacentral:rRNA from 1 species